CGUUUAGUUUAUUAUUUAAGGUCUGACCUGCCCACUGAUUUACAUUAAAUGGCCGCAGUAUUUUAACUGUGCAAAGGUAGCAUAAUCAUUAGUCUUUUAAUUGAAGGCUUGUAUGAAUGGUUGGACGAAGUGUAUACUGUAUCAUAAUAAUUUAUAUUAGAAUUUUAUUUUUCAUUUAAAAAGCUGAAAUUUUAUUUAAAGACGAGAAGACCCUAUAGAUUUUUAUAAAUUUAAGUUAUAAUAAUAUUUAGAAUUAUUAAUUUUUAUGAUUUAUAUUUAUUUUGUUGGGGUGACAAUAAAAUUUAAAAAACUUUUAUUUUUUAUUACAUUGGUCUAUGAAUAAUUGAUCCAUUAUUAGUGAUUAUAAGAUUAAAUUACCUUAGGGAUAACAGCGUAAUUUCUUUGGAGAGUUCUUAUCGAUAAAGAAGAUUGCGACCUCGAUGUUGGAUUAAAAUUAUUAUUGGGUGUAGAAGUUCAAUUUUUAAGUCUGUUCGACUUUUAAUUUUUUACAUGAUCU
rnacentral:rRNA from 1 species